AUGCUGGGCCGCCAGUCUGCGGGCGCCCGUGGGCGCAGCCCUUCUCAUCAGGCCUCUCCCCGCGCUGCCAGGAGGCGAUCUCAGGAGGCCCCUCACCCCGCCGGCGUCCCCAACAUCUCUGUUGUCGGUGAUCCCGAGAUCGAACCGCGCCGGGGCGCAGAACUCGCCGCUGCUCAAGGCCGAUACAACUUUGAUCAGGCUCUGGUCGCCCAGUAUGCUCCAGUGGCCCAUGCCAUCACCCUCCAGGCCGCCUGGAUUCGAAGCUUCCCCACGCCGCCGCUGGUCAGUGAUGGCCCCGUGCAGCGAACCGCAUCUCCUGGGCUCGAUGGUGCAAGGGGACGCGGUGGCGCUGGCCAUCUUUGCGGAGCGUCAGCCGGGCCUCCUGGCUCCGCCCGGUUACCUGCCGUACCUCAGCAGGGUCCUUUCAGCCGGGCCUCAGAAAGCAGAAAAGUUGCACGAGUUAAGCAAAUCAUCGUAUUUCACCUUUGA
rnacentral:rRNA from 1 species